rnacentral:rRNA from 1 species
GACGAACGCUGGCGGCGUGCUUAACACAUGCAAGUCGAACGGAAAGGCCCUGCUUUUGUGCGGUGCUCGAUUGGCGAACGGGUGAGUAACACGUGAGUAACCUGCCCUUGACUUUGGGAUAACUUCAGGAAACUGGGGCUAAUAUCGGAUAGGAGCUCCUGCUCCACGGGGGGGGUUGGAAAGUUUCGGCGUUUGUGGAUGGACUCGCGGCUUAUCAGCUGGUUGGGGGGGUAGGGGCUUCCCAAGCCUUUGACGGGUAGCCGGCCUGAGAGGGUUACCGGGGACAAUGGUACUGAGAUAGGGCCCAGACUCCAACGGGCGGCAGCAGUGGGGAAUAUUGCACAAUGGGGCGAAGCCUGAGGCAGAGACGCCGGGUGCGGAAUGACGGCCUUCGGGUUGUAAACCGCUUUCGAAUGUGACGAAGCGUGAGUGACGGUACUGGGUAAAGAAGCACCGGCUAACUACGUG